rnacentral:rRNA from 1 species
UACGGGGGGGGCAAGCGUUGUUCGGAAUUACUGGGCGUAAAGCGUGCGUAGUCGGUUAUCUAAGUCGGGUGUGAAAUCCCCGGGCUCAACCUGGGAAUUGCAUUCGAUACUGGAUAGCUAGAGUUCGGCAGAGGGAAGCGGAAUUUCGGGUGUAGCGGUGAAAUGCGUAGAUAUCCGAAGGAACAUCAGUGGCGAAAGCGGCUUCCUGGACCAGAACUGACGAUCAGGCACGAAAGCGUGGGGAGCAAACAGG